UAGAUCGUGAUUUUAUAUUUAUUGGGUUCUACAUCGUGGAAUUUUGUAUUAUAUUUUCCUUGCAUUAAUCGUGUAUAUGGAGAUCUGGAGCUUUUUGGGCUUCUUGCUUAUUUGGUUGUGUUUAGUGUUUUCUCGUUUUAUUGAGUGUUUCUGAUUAACUGAUUGAAUUUGCUUUAUUCAACCAUUUAUUUUUGGUAGUUGGGGAUGGUAAAAGUGUGGAAUACCUUGUUUUAGAGAUGUAAAAAGUAGUAAAUUUCGUGUUAUAUUUUUAAGAUUCUGUCACCAUAUUGAUGGGAUUUACCAUCUUUUGAGGAUUUGUUACUAGCUGAUGGGAUUUAUUAACUACUGAAGCUGUUGUUCAUACUGGUGGAAUUUGCCUAUUAUUAUUUUAUCUGGUUUCAUCUAUGCAUCAUGCACCCAUCUAGUCUGCCCUCGUGUGCACUGUUCGUAGUCUUGCUUUGCAUGCCCUAGUAUUCUAGUUAUUCCUUUUUACGUUCAAGUGUAGGUCUUCUUACACUGGAUUGGAUUUUGCCUUCUCUAAACUAACAUGGCAAUUAAAAUGGACCUUCAAUUUUAAAAUAAGUAAACCAAUAAUUGACAAGAUACCACUAAACCCGUGUCUGUGUUGAAUUUCUUCUCUGUGGUCCCUGGAUUGAUAGGUUACCCAACAUGCUCGAAAGAUUAUGUAGUUUACUUUGAAAGGAAAAUGCUAGUAUAUGACUGUCUUAGUAUAUUGACCGACAUAAAUUUUAUUAAUGGAUUUCAGGUGAUGAGCUUCUCUCGGACUCAUUCCCAUACAAGGAAAUUCAGAAUGGCAUGC
rnacentral:misc_RNA from 1 species